rnacentral:rRNA from 1 species
UACGUAGGUGGCAAGCGUUGUCCGGAUUUAUUGGGCGUAAAGCGCGCGUAGGCGGUCUGUUAAGUGAGAAGUGAAAGCUCUGGGCUCAACCCAAAAAUUGCUUUUCAUACUGGCAGACUGGAGUGAUGCAGAGGUUUGUGGAAUUCCUGGUGUAGCGGUGAAAUGCGUUGAUAUCAGGAGGAACACCGGUGGCGAAGGCGGAUCUCUGGGCCUUACCUGACGCUCAGGCGCGAAAGCUAGGGGAGCGAACAGG